AGUGUUGAAGGAAAUCUCCGUCUGUUAGCAUAUGAGUUUGCUACAAUGGGGUCUCUCCAUGACAUUCUUCAUGGACGAAAAGGAGUUAAAGGAGCACAACCAGGACUAGUGUUGUCAUGACUCCAAAGAGUUAAAAUUGCUGUCGGAGCAGCAAAAGGAUUGGAAUACCUGCAUGAGAAAGCCCAACCUCAUAUCAUUCAUCGUGAUAUAAAGUCAAGAAAGUGAAAGUGAGGAUGAUGGUCUUGACAUGGGUGAUGAUGAUAAUGUUGAGGAACCUGAAAAUGAACCAGAGGCUGUUAGGAAAUAACCAACCAUUGAGAAACCUACUCCUGUUUCAGCACCACCCAAA